rnacentral:rRNA from 1 species
CAGUCGCCGCGGUAAUACGUGGGUGGCAAGCGUUGUCCGGAAUUAUUGGGCGUAAAGGGCUCGCAGGCGGUUUCUUAAGUCUGAUGUGAAAGCCCCCGGCUCAACCGGGGAGGGUCAUUGGAAACUGGGAAACUUGAGUGCAGAAGAGGAGAGUGGAAUUCCACGUGUAGCGGUGAAAUGCGUAGAGAUGUGGAGGAACACCAGUGGCGAAGGCGACUCUCUGGUCUGUAACUGACACUGAGGAGCGAAAGCGUGGGGAGCGAACAGGAUUAGAUACCCCAGUAGUCCCUGUCUCUUAUAC